rnacentral:rRNA from 1 species
GAUGAACGCUGGCGGCGUGCCUAAUACAUGCGAGUCGAGCGAACGGACGAGAAGCUUGCUUUUCUGAUGUUAGCGGCGGACGGGUGAGUAACACGUGGAUAACCUACCUAUAAGACUGGGAUAACUUCGGGGAACCGGAGCUAAUACCGGAUAAUAUUUUGAACCGCAUGGUUCAAAAGUGAAAGACGGUCUUGCUGUCACUUAUAGAUGGAUCCGCGCUGCAUUAGCUAGUUGGUAAGGUAACGGCUUACCAAGGCAACGAUGCAUAGCCGACCUGAGAGGGUGAUCGGCCACACUGGAACUGAGACACGGUCCAGACUCCUACGGGAGGCAGCAGUAGGGAAUCUUCCGCAAUGGGCGAAAGCCUGACGGAGCAACGCCGCGUGAGUGAUGAAGGUCUUCGGAUCGUAAAACUCUGUUAUUAGGGAAGAACAUAUGUGUAAGUAACUGUGCACAUCUUGACGGUACCUAAUCAGAAAGCCACGGCUAACUACGUG